rnacentral:rRNA from 1 species
AUGACCGGUGGGCUCGGCCGUUUUUCGAUUGGCUGGGUGCCCAUUCUUGGGGUGCGCGGUCAGCCUCUCCUACCGCUCCGCGUGCGCGUGUUGCGCGCAUUGUCAGUUUGCGCGGGCUGUGCCCCCCACUCUUUCCUCUGGCUGGAAUUCUGGUGCGGCUGCGAGUGGGCCUGGCUAUGUUUUGGUCCCACGCGUCGGCGUCCUCCUGUGACCUUUAUGUGUGUGUGUUGCCUGCCUCGUCUGGGUUCGGUCGCGUCCCGUCUGACGUAUCGGGAGUGGGCGAGCGGUCUCGUCUCGCGUAUGGAGAGUGAGGGCCUGGCUGACUCUUGGUCCUCCAAUCACGUCCGCCGCGCGCGACGUGCGUUCCGGCAGGAUAUGUGCACAUUCACCGCUACCCGUCCACGCUAUGAUGGGUGGCCCUUGUUGGAUGUUGGCCCACAUUGGAGGUGGAGCUGUAGGGGAGGGGAGGAUGCCAACGACAAGGGAAAGGAGGAGGCCAAAGAGGACGGCAAUGGGGAGGCCGGCAGGGAAGGAGCAGAGAGAGGGCUUCUGCUUCUUCCAGCGGGCCAUGGCACCCGAAGAGAGAUGCUGCGUGGCUCCCUCUGGCGGCUCCUGGCCGUGGCCGUGGCCGUGUCGGCGGCGACGGGGGCGGUGGCCGCCCUGAAGGCCGGUCGGAGCCUGCACCGGGACUUCGACGACGGAUGGGUGGUGGAGCUAGCGCUGGACCGGGAGACGGGGUCCAGGCUGGAGUCCAAGGACCGGUACCUCUUCGGGCGGUUCGAUCUCGACAUCAGGCUCGUUGCCGGCAUGUCCGCCGGGACCCGGGACCAUCGCUUCCUUCAACCCUCCUCUGAUGAGGGAGGUGGCUCGGCCCAGCCAUGGCCCUGGCACUUGCCAUGGGAGAGUAGGGCGGCACCGUCGUGGGGGUGGAUGACCAGGGGAUUGCCAGGAGGCCGGCGGUGGGUCGAAGAAGCAGAGAUGCAGCACAUUCUCUUCCUCUCUUCCUUGCUGACGACGCGUCCGGAAGGUGAUGCGUUCUCGUCUCUUCCCUUCUGGUUGCACGUCAGCUCCUUUUUCCAAUCCCAUGCUCUUCUCUCCUCAUGCCCCUCCUCCUCUUGCUCCUCCUAUUGUUGUUGUCUGACAGUUGUGCAUUCUUCACCUUGGAUGGUCAAAGAUAUGCUCGCUAGCCUGAUGCUGCUCCAUCGGUGGAUCUACAGGAUAAGAGCCAUGAAUAGGAGCAAGGCAGCACACUACACCUCUGAGAAGAAAAGGAUAUGA